rnacentral:tRNA from 1 species
GCGGGCAUGGCGGAAUUGGCAGACGCGCCAGAUUUAGGUUCUGGUACCUCGGUGUGCAGGUUCAAAUCCUGUUGCCCGCACCA